rnacentral:rRNA from 1 species
AUUGAACGCUGGCGGCAUGCUUUACACAUGCAAGUCGAACGGUAACAGGCCUUCGGGUGCUGACGAGUGGCGAACGGGUGAGUAAUGCAUCGGAACGUGCCCAGAGGUGGGGGAUAACGCAGCGAAAGCUGUGCUAAUACCGCAUGUGAUCUGAGGAUGAAAGCGGGGGACCAGGCAGCAAUGUUUGGCCUCGCGCCUUUGGAGCGGCCGAUGUCAGAUUAGGUAGUUGGUGGGGUAAAGGCCUACCAAGCCGACGAUCGGUAGCUGGUCUGAGAGGACGACCAGCCACACUGGGACUGAGACACGGCCCAGACUCCUACGGGAGGCAGCAGUGGGGAAUUUUGGACAAUGGGCGCAAGCCUGAUCCAGCAAUGCCGCGUGCGGGAAGAAGGCCUUCGGGUUGUAAACCGCUUUUGUACGGAACGAAAAGGCUCUGGCUAAUACCUGGGGCUGAUGACGGUACCGUAAGAAUAAGCACCGGCUAACUACGUG